AUAUACAACAGUCCUCUAGAUAACUACUCCAGCCAAGUUGUUUUCUUCCUUUCGAGGUUUUUCUCUUCCUCAUGUUCGUAAUAUGAUGCCAACACGAAACAUAAAUCUGCAGAAGUAGAAAAAAAAAAUCUCUCUUCCAAUAAGUAUGUGUAAAAGAAAGGAAAACACUUAACAACCCUUAUAAAGUGUAUAGAUGAGAAGAUAUUAAAGUUUGGUUAGUCGAACCACAAAAUCAGCCUGGAAGCUCCGAGAAAUA
rnacentral:lncRNA from 1 species